rnacentral:rRNA from 1 species
CAACACACGAGAACAACAGGUGAUAUUGUUUUGAUAGUGCGGGGAAUGAUGGGAAUCCAGAGCCCCAUCAGAGGGACAUGUGGAGGCCAAGUAGGGUAGCAGCUGCCAGGUACAUUCCAGCAUCAAAUGCUCGUUGCAGAGUGGUAGCAGAUAAAAUGAUAGUAGCUGGGCAUCUUCAGGAAGCAAUUUUUCUAAUUUUUUGCUAAGGAUGAGUUCUCGCUGAAUUUCAUCCUGAUCUCAUCUUAAGUUAUUGUGUAUUAUGAUGAUUGGUUCAAUAAUAAUAUUAUUGCAUCAUAGUUGUCAGGGAGACUGUGAAAAUGACAGAAUUAGAGGGGGUGAAGCAGGGCUUUGAAUCCUCCAGCACUGAAGCACGGCAUAGCAUUUUGGUGUUAUCAUGCUAGACUUCUUGUUUGUAGGACUGAAAUAAUAAGGGGUAGGGACAUUUGGGGGCAUUCGUAUUUGACUGUCAGAGGUGAAAUCCUUAGAUUUGUUAAAGACGAACUGGAGGAAAGCAUUUGCCACAGAUGUCUCCUGAAUCAAGAACGAAAGUUAGGUGCUCAAAGACGAUCGAAACCAUCGUGUUUCACCAUACAUUCGCCGACAGAGAUGUAG